rnacentral:rRNA from 1 species
UACGUAGGAGGCGAGCGUUGUCCGGAAUUACUGGGCGUAAAGAGCGCGUAGGCGGCCCGGUACGACCGGUGUGAAAGCCCCCGGCUCAACUGGGGAGGGUCACCGGUAACGGCCGAGCUAUGAGUGCAGGAGAGGGAAGUGGAACUCCGGGAGUAGCGGUGAAAUGCGUGGAGACCCGGAGGAACACCAGUGGCGAAGGCGGCUUCCUGGUCUGCAACUGACGCUGUGGCGCGAAAGCUAGGGGAGCAAACGGG